rnacentral:lncRNA from 1 species
GCUCCUCGUGCACACAGCCCGGUGCACAACAGCAAUGGAGGUGAAGACAGCUGCAAAGCCGGUCAGGUACACCACACCCAGGAGGCAGGCCAGCUUCACCACUUGCUGGUAGAAGUGGCCCAGUGCUUGCUGCCACAUGGACUGCUCCAUGAGGACACACAGAUCCGUGUAGGUGAACCAGCCGCGCCACAUGCCCUGCUUCUCUGCCAC